GGCAGCGGAGCCCCAGAGGCACUGGGGAGAGGCAGCUGGGCCUCGAGCUUGUGGUUGCAGAUUGGAGCUGGCCAGGGCAGAGAUGCUGUGCUGAGAUGGAAGCGGUGGCAGCUGAAACCUGGAUAAUUAGAGCCGGCCGAACACCUUUUGACAAGGAUCAUAAAGACUUUUGCAAACAUUAAUUAAUGUCCCCACCCGGUGAAGAAAGAGCAACUUAUUUUCCAAGUGCAUCAAGGGAAGGCCUAGGCAAUAAGGUGGUGGCUUCACUCCCCACCACACCCCGAGUCAGCCUCCCUUCGCUUCUCACAGCCACCCCAAAGCGGCCCGAGUCACCC
rnacentral:lncRNA from 1 species